CAGAUGAGCUGUUUUUCUCCAAGUGCCUUUUCUUGGCGUCAGGCUGCGUAUGUGGACUCCUAUUGCUGGGCUGCAGUUCAACAGAAGCAGCUUUCUCAGAGUGAAUCAGGCCACCUUCCCCUAUGGCUACAUAAGUUCUUCCCGUACAUCCUGCUGCUGCUUGCCAUCCUGCUGUACCUGCCAUGGAUCUUUUGGCGUUUCACUGCAGCGCCUCACCUUUCUUCGGAUCUGAAGUUUAUCUUGGAAGAACUUGACAAGGCUUAUAACAGAGCCAUCAAAGCUGCCAACAGUUUCCAGAACUGCGAUGCCAGAGAUGUAGCCAGCUCCCCACCUGCCAUUGAAAAUAUUGCACAGAGUUUAUGGGAGAUCUCCGACAGCCACUUUAAAUACCCUAUUGUGGAACAGUAUCUGAAGACAAAGAAGAGCUCCAAGAACUUAAUCAUCAAAUACAUUAUUUGCCGUUUGCUAACUUUGAUCAUUAUCCUCUUUGCUUGCCUGUUCCUGGGUUAUUAUAUUAGCCUUUCCUCCCUGACCGAUGAGUUCAUUUGCAACAUCAAAACUGGGAUACUGAAAAAUGACACGAACAUUCCAGGACUAUUUCAGUGCAAAAUGAUUGCCGUUGGUGUCUUUCAGCUGCUGAGUUACAUCAAUUUCAUCGUGUAUGUGCUGAUCACACCCCUGGUGAUUUAUGCCUUCUUCGUUCCUCUCAGGCAGAGCUCGGACAUCCUUCAGGUCUACGAGCUUCUGCCGACAUUUGAUGUUCUCAAAGUCAAAGCGAAACACUACAACGACAUGAGCCUCUACCUGCUUUUCCUGGAGGAAAAUGUGAGCGAGCUGAAAUCUUACAAGUGCCUCAAAGUUCUGGAGAGCCUCAAAGGCAGCGGGGAGAGGUUUGAUGCCAUGCAGCUCCUGAGGAACCUUGGCUCAAUUAAAAUGGACGCCAUGGAUUCCAAGCCAAACACCACCCACAAGGAGAAGAGGAAAAAAGUGGAAGCGGAAAUGUCCAAUGAUGCAGCAGAAUUGAAAGAUCUGACUGAGCCAAAAUUGCCUGAUGAUACUGAAGGUACAAGUAAAGAUGGCAAGAUUCGCCAAAGACUUCUGGAUUCUUCUUGCUGAUGGAUUCAGCCUGUGGUUGAUAGGUGCUGAGAGCUAUUUCGAACACCUGAGGCAUAAAGCCAUCUCUAUUACGCCACAUAAUUGCCUUCCCACUGAGUUUACAAGGACUUGGGACAGAAAGGAGAAUAAUUGUUUGAAAAUAAUUGAGCUGUCUGUGUUUACAUGUCUACAGUUUACAUGAAUAUUAUGCCUAGAGAUACACUGAUGGGGUGAACAAUGUCAAUUCUCAUUAGGGAGGAAAGGCUGAAGUACUGAAUUUGAAAGAAAAGAAGUAAAAUAAGGAGAAUAUUUCAGAUUGGUUUCAUAGAUGUGUAGACAUCGAUUCCCUAUUAUUCAGUAUCUUCAGCCAUAACGGAGUGUACAGAUAACAAAUGAACAACAAUUAACACAAUAGUGGACAACAUAAUAGUGACAUUACAAAUACCCAUCAUGUAAGUAAGUCAAGUAUUAUAUACCACUUUGAAAAAAACUAUGGAAGCGAACAAGUUUUUUUGCAAGUAGCUCUGUGGAUAAAGGGUCAGUUAACACCCCUCACUUGUGCCUAUCUUCCACGAGAUUGUACACUUCAAGGAUGGAGAACUGGUGACUAUCUACAAGUAAAUGAACACCUAUUAUCCCUCUCAUAAAGCAUGUUGUUGUCAGGAGCUGGACGUGGUACUUUCAACAACCUUUGAAAUUCCACCAUUUCUAUGCGACGUGGAAUAUACAUGUAUUCAUGUAUGCAUGUAUUCUGUUAAUACCACCAGUUAUAGAACUAUCUUAAAAGUUAAUAGCUUCAGGAUAGUGGUAUAGAAUGAAAAAAAAAUAAAUAGAAAUGCAUCUUAUUUUGAGAUUGCCUGCCUGGUUUUUCUACUUCGUGGCUGUACUUCACUGUUAUAUACGCAAAAACCAAAAUAUUAAGCAACUAGAACUGGUGGGAAAAGGUUUGAAGCUUUUGGACCAAGACAUGUAGAGAUUAGCCUAUAUAGAAAUAAAAAAUACAAACUUUGGAUAUCUCUCCCCUCUUAAGAAGAAAGACUUUGUACUUUUCUACAAGGUAGGUUGAUUUUUACAAGAAAAUCUAGAAAAAAAGGUUAUUUCAACUGCUUAUGGAGACCAACUAUCCAUGUUUGUGGAGACCAACUUCUACACCAGCAAAAUAUUGUCUUUACCUUAAUGAAAUAUAUCAAAGAUAUAUCAAAGUCUCCGUAAUUCCUAAUAAAUUCACCAAUGCAGUUUUCUUUACAGCAAGAUGGAAGAAGUUUACUUGUGUCAUCUUCAGAUGUUUUUCCAACAUCUAGAUCAAGUAUACAACCAUGUGAUUUUGGGGGUGGAGGCAGACUUACAGGGGCAACUAACUAACUGCAACCCGGCUUAACAUUUUCAAGUUCAGUUCUGUAUUAUCAUCCCUUGUGGCCAACUAGUCUAUGACUCCAAAUUUAAGAUAGUCCCUUACACUCCAAUGUACCUUCUAUAAUAAAAGGAAGGCUCUAUUACUACGUUUUCAUCUAUUCCAAGAUGAUCAAAUGUUUUAAAGAUAAGAACAAAAACUAAUCUUCCUUUCAUAUAAAUACUGUAUAAUGAAGUGAUUCCUCUUUUAUUACAACCAUUCAUACAAAGAAGGUGUCACAGGGCCUAGAAACAGGAACAGGAUUCUCGGGUAAAUUCUUCGACUAUCUAGAUUCUUUAGUGCUGAAAAAAAGCUUUUUAAAAACCGGAGAAUUGUCCAUCCGUUUCUGGAAAAGAUACUUCAGUGUGCUUCUCAAAGCAUCCUGUUAAGACAGCCUUAAAUAUCACCUUUCUGCACUCGGAAGAUUUUGUCCAACUUUCUCAGGCUCUGUUUGGGUGCAGUUUUUUUCCCCUUUCACCCCAAGGAGUGAAUUCCAAUAGAGGAAUAAUUCUGAAGCACCUAUGCAGAUGAUGGGUGCUGUGGAUUAUUUAACGAGACUUCAAAAUCAUCCAUUUAUUAUCCAUUUAUAUCCCAUUUUCUUGGAGGCUGCCGUUCUAAGGAGGCAGCAAAUGAUAGAUAAUUCAUAUUAUUGCAAGUUCAAGGACAAAACAUGGAAAACUUAGCAGAAGAGUUGCAAACCAAAAAGUACAGAUAUUAAUUAUCUCAGGGUCAGCAUUUCUUCUCAAACCAGGCAUCAUCAUUUUCUUCUGCACUGCUUCUCAGCGAAACAAUAUCGAAAACUGUAACUGGUGCAAAACUAAAGAUGAAUGGUACAAAAUCAUCCCUACCUCCAUAUCUAUGCAGAAAUAACCACAAGAACAAAUUGUAGAUUAUGUCUUGGAUGCAAUGCAGCAUAAGGAGGAAUACUCACAAGUAACAAUUAUCAGGAGCAAGUGGGAAAUUAUUGACAAAGAAUUGAAAAAAAACAAACCCUCAGCUGUUAUCAAGGCUGCCAGUAACCAGAGAUUUCAAAGAAUUGUGAAAUUUCAAGAAAGAAUGAUGGAAAAAAAGAGUUACUGGUGGCUCUUCGUAGUCCUUUCAAAUCGGUUGAUUUUAUAAGAAUUGGAUGGAAAUCUUACGAUAGGAUUAAAACCAACUCUGCUAGUUGUACAGCAUUCAGAGCUCCAGAACAUUCCUAACUUCACACUCCUGGACAGAUUAUAAGAAUCACAAAGUAAGCAGCAAGUAGGCCUCAGUGAAAACUGCCAUCCCUAAGAGGAAAUAUUACUUUUUACGCGUUUCCACUCAAGCGAACUCUGGAUCAUACCAUUUAGCAGGAUAUUUGUGCAGGCCUGAUGGCGUUGCAGAUACAGAGUAAG